rnacentral:rRNA from 1 species
GACGUAGGGCGCGAGCGUUGUCCGGAUUUAUUGGGCGUAAAGAGCUCGUAGGCGGUUUGUCGCGUCUGCUGUGAAAACCUAAGGCUCAACCUUGGGCUUGCAGUGGGUACGGGCAGACUAGAGUGCGGUAGGGGUGACUGGAAUUCCUGGUGUAGCGGUGGAAUGCGCAGAUAUCAGGAGGAACACCGGUGGCGAAGGCGGGUCUCUGGGCCGAUACUGACGCUGAGGAGCGAAAGCGUGGGGAGCGAACAGG